rnacentral:misc_RNA from 1 species
AACACGCUCGCAACACACAUCAAAGUAGAAUAAAGCAGAGAACACAAAACGCCUCACCCUCAGCAUAACAAGAAGGAAUAAAUGUUUGUGCCACCGCAGCUGUACAACUAGCCAUCGGAAAAGUACUGCGGGGUAGAGGGUCAUUAAACAGUGCCAAAAGAGCAGUUCCCAGUUCCGUGUUUGAAGUUUCCUUAGUGCCCAGUGUGCGAGGGGAAGGCGAGAGGAGCAGGUGGGGAUAAAAUGACUGUGGACGCAUCUGGCAGCGCGAACGGGGCGGCAGCUGGUGGAGGAAGGAACAACGGCACCGCGCCUCAGUGUGUUGUACCCCGUCCUGCCGCUACCACCACCACCACCACCACCACCACCUUCAGAAGAGCCGGAAUGCCGUCACCCAAGGAGUUCUUCACCAUGGCGGCUCUCUGCCUCGCCUCCGCCUUCGCCUUCUUCUGCUGCCCAAUCUUUAUGGAGCGACCACAACAGUAAGAGAUCGCUAUGAAGGUGCAGCCACUACCCUGCCUCCCACAGACCAACACUGGGGGGUGGGACAGGCUGCCAGCCAGCAGAAGUGAAGGAAAAUCCUAGCAUAACCUCUCCCAGACUCACCAAGAAACACACCCAACACCUCACAUCAUCUAACAAAACCCCUCAGCACCAUCCUCGCCUCUCCCCACCCAGACUAUGUUAGCACUGUGGUGAAAGGAAGCAAUGUGAAUGUAGUGGUGAAGAACUUAGAAACGAGACAAGUGAAUGAUGGGAGUAAAAACAUUAACACCAGGAAUGAAGAAAUGAUGAAGAAGUGAUGCUGAGGAUGGUGCUGAGAGAAGACAGAGUGUUAGUUAUGGCAAGGGGAAGAGGAGCAGGAGGAGGAGGAGGAGGAGGAUGGAGAUGAAACUACUGCCAGUGUAUUCCAGAGCUUUAAUGUUUUCUUUGUCCUGUCAGUGUAAAUGUAAACCUGAUGACUGUGUGUGUGUGUGUGUGUGUGUGUGUGUGUGUGUGUGUGUGUGUGUGUGUGUGUGUGUGUGUGUGUGUGUGUGUGUGUGUGUGUUGGUACACCCUUUUGACUUCCAUUUUACCUUACCAAGUUCUUGUUAUCAGUAAAUGUUGAACCAAUUUGUGGUGUUUUGUACAUAUCCUUAAGGAACGAUGGAGUUUGUUCAGUUGUUACACACUUCAGGCAAUAAACUUGUGACUUCAA